GUGGCGCAGCGCUGGACGUGCAUGAGUCAGAGCCUUUCAGCUUUAGCCAGGGACCCUUAAAGGAUGCACCCAACCUCAUCUGCACCCCCCAUGCUGCAUGGUACAGUGAGCAGGCGUCCAUUGAGAUGCGAGAGGAGGCAGCCCGGGAAAUCCGACGAGCCAUCACAGGCCGGAUCCCAGAUAGCUUGAAAAACUGUGUCAACAAGGACCACCUGACAGCUGCCACCCACUGGGCCAGCAUGGACCCUGCUGUGGUGCACCCUGAGCUCAAUGGGGCUGCCUACAGCAGGUACCCUCCAGGUGUGGUGAGUGUGGCCCCCACUGGCAUCCCAGCUGCUGUGGAAGACUGUCAAGCCUGAGGCGGAUAGAGACCAUACGACUGACCAGUUGUAGCCUGUGAGGAGCUCUCCAGCCUUGACACCUGGUGGAGGGAGCUGCACACCCUUGGACCCAAGUGUGCAGAGGUGACAUCCAGUGUGGCCCUAGCACUCCAGAGACUGGCCCGGGCGUGCACCAGGCGGGGCAAGAGGAAGCACGUCCCCAAGUUGAUUGUAGUUGUCCCGUCCUGUGGGCUGGCUCACUGUCCUGUGUCCUUUGCGUUCCUCGUUUAAGCAAAAGAAGUUAGUAGCUAAUUCUAUCACG
rnacentral:lncRNA from 1 species